GGAUGUGAGGGCGAUCUGGCUGCAACAUCUGUCACCCCAUUGAUCGCCAGGGUUGAUUUGGCUGAUCUGGCUGGCUAGGCGGGUGUCCCCUCCUCCCUCACCGCUCCAUGUGCGUCCCUGCCGAAGCUGCGUCCUCGCUUGGUUGAAGAGGACGACCAUCCCCAAUAGAGGAGGACCGGUCCGGUCUUCGGUCAAGGGUAUACGAGUAGCUGCACUCCUCUGCUAGAACCUCCAAACAAGCUCCUAAAGCUCUCCUUCCAAAUAUCAUCAAACAUAUGACUUCUAAGAUUAAAUUUUCAACACACAAAUUCAAGGGACACACCUAAACCAUAGCUCUCACAGAAUUU
rfam:Dipodomys ordii contig_33570, whole genome shotgun sequence.